rnacentral:rRNA from 1 species
AUUGAACGCUGGCGGCAUGCCUUACACAUGCAAGUCGAACGGCAGCACGGGAGCAAUCCUGGUGGCGAGUGGCGAACGGGUGAGUAAUAUAUCGGAACGUGCCCAGUCGUGGGGGAUAACGCAGCGAAAGCUGUGCUAGUACCGCAUACGAUAUACGGAUGAAAUCGGGGGAUCGCAAGACCUCGCGCGAUGCGAGCGGCUGAUAUCAGAUUAGCUAGUUGGGGGGGUAAAGGCCAACCAAGGCGACGAUCUGUAGCUGGUCUCAGAGGACGACCAGCCACACUGGAACUGAGACACGGUCCAGACUCCUACGGGAGGCAGCAGUGGGGAAUUUUGGACAAUGGGCGCAAGCCUGAUCCAGCAAUGCCGCGUGCAGGAUGAAGGCCUUCGGGUUGUAAACUGCUUUUGUACGGAACGAAACGGUCCUUUCUAAUACAAGGGGCUAAUGACGGUACCGUAAGAAUAAGCACCGGCUAACUACGUGCCAGCCGCCGCAGUAA